ACACUGAAACCUGCAGUAACCCCCCUCCCCCAACACUACACUCCAUAUCUCACACACAUACAGACACAGACAAACACACACACACACACACACACACACACACACACAGGCCUAGCCUGUAUAGCUAAUCUUCUUAGCAAUUGCAAGGCUUGACUGUUGGAACAGAACAAAGUUCACAUCGUCAACAACAACAGAGGUGGUAUUGCUACCAAUGAGAGAGAGACGGGGAGAAAAAGAAAACCUACAGAGACAGAUAAAAAAGAAAAAGACAAAACAUAAGAAGAGACAGAGAGAACAUAAACAGAAUCACAACUUUUACCUCUGGACUGAACUGACCAUGUUUUCUCCUUGAUGAAUUAUUCUGCGGAUUAUCUCACAACCUUCGGCAGUGAAACCUGAACUGAUGUGACACACUGACACUUUCUGAAUUUUCUUUUUUUUUUUUUUACUCAAAUCCUGGCCACUGAAGACAACUUCUCAUCAGUAAGGAAAACUGUCAGGACAAUGUUUUAGCUCACUGAUAAUAUUUGGCAGCCAUCUGCAAGUCAUUUCCACCUGCAUCUAUUCAAACCUGCCUUUUUGGGGAACCUGAAAAACUGAGCAGUAUGGAGGUGCUGAGUGGCCCCUGGGCUGAUCUGGCUCUGCUCCUUCGACAGACCAUCACGCAGACAGACAGAGAGACAGACAGCUUUCUUCCUCUCUGGCUGUUCGGUCUGCUGCUGUUCUUGUCUGUCUGUCUGCUGCUGCUGCAACUGAUUAUCUACCUCAGCUGGAAACUCAGACAGGUUGAAGCUGAUCUGUCGGAGGUUCCGCAAAACAGAAGCGCCAUCUACAGGCAGAUAUACAGAGGUACACACCUGAGGAGGAGGAGUGUUGGGUAGCACUCGCACACCUGACUUCAUCAACAGCCCAGACACUUCAAACCUGCUAAACUGGACACUUUCCUGAUUGUUUCGGGCAGUCCUGCCAGUCAAAAUAAGUUCAGAGUAUCUCUGCAGUGCAAUGUGACCAAUGUCAACACCAGAAGGGACCUGGGAGGGACAUAUCUCAGGCAAAAUGAAGGUGCCUUAAGAAGAUGAAUGUUGAAGCCUGUAAAGAAAAUCAUCAACUGCCAUAGAAGAUCUGUCAAAAUUACUUGUCUGUUAUACAUCUUUAAAACACCCACGGAAAUCUGGACGUUACCACAUUAUCUGAAGAGACUAUUGACAUCAUCAUGAAGCUAAAGGCGUCUUUUAGAGCUGUAUUUAUUAUUUUUCAUAUUGGGUUGUAAUUAUACACUUAUUAUUCAUUAUUAGUAUACUACAUGACCAGAAUUUUAGUUUUAUGUACAUCAACAUACAGGACUUAAAUUUUAAUAAAUUAACCAAUGGAUGAAUGCAGAAAUGAUAUGACCAACAGAUUUCAGAGUAUAACAAUCCUUUAUUUAAACAGUGUUACACAGGGGAGGAGUGGCUGUGUGUGUGGGGAGACACAAAACAAUUAAGCUGCUAGACAGAAAAACCCUACCGGUGAUCACUGUUUGGCUAACAGGGAACGAUGAGGCAGCUGUGGUUGGUUCUCCAAAAUUUGUUUCUUUAAAAAGUUUUGUUGAAUGUGAGUUUUAAGUAGUUAAAAUACAAAAUUGUGCUGGUAUUAAUUGACCGUACACUGUCUCAUCUGUCCAAACUGUAAUACAAAGCCUGAGAUAUAACUAAAGAACGUAGUCCAAUUAUCAUUUGUCUUUUAAAACAUCUGCUUCAUCAGCCUCAUACAGAAAGAGACGUUAUUGUAUGAAUUAAAUCUAAUCUAAUGGCAGUAUAUUGUUGGUUUUUCUGUGUAACAUUGCCCUCCAUAAUGUUACAAUCUUGAGAUCCCUGACACUUUCUAAAAAAUCAGCUGGCGUUGAAUCAUCAUCACCAGUUGCUUGGAGUGACAUUAUGGAGUUGCUAUGGUAACCACUGAACACUUUCACUUGUCUGUGUUGAUUUUUUAUAUAUAAUAAAAGUUCCUGAUGGCAAGACAUUCUUUUGUGGUAGCAUUUUUUUUUUUUUUUUGAAUAGCCUCAAAUAAAAUUCACGAGAAAAGCGCUGCCAACAUUUUGGAAAACCAGACCUCGCAGCCCCCAAAGCUCCUGUGAUUGGUUCAAACAGAGCACAGACCCCCGGAAAAGAGGUUAAACCUGGGGCUAAAAGUACAAAAGGGAAAUGGUGGCAGAAAUUUUGAUUUGUAGUGGUGUUCCUUCAAAGUCAAAAAGUGUGACAAUAUUAAAAAUAUCAAAGAGGGCACACAAAAAAUCCCAUCUUUCAACAACUAGAUCAGUUUCACAGAGAAAAGACAACAAAUGAUGAGAAAAUCUACAAAUAUAGCUGUUGUGAUAUAACCGAUGUUGUUUAAAAGAUUUUUCUUUUCUUUUCUUUUUUUUUUUUUGAACAGUGAAAGCUUCCAAAGCUGCCUAGUGUUGCACGGUUUGUUUGUUUUUCAUGUUUUUCUGCUGCUUUGUCUCUUUGCAAGAGGGUUAGAGGUUAAAGCUUCCCCCUCAUCUGGAAUGUCUUUUAACUGCAUAGUAGAGGUCAGACCAGUAUUUCCCAAUAGAAAGUCUAGACAGUCAUUACCACUCCAUCGUCUGGACAUGCCUCAGUCCAGAAAGAAAAGUUUUAAACAGGGGUUAAAUUAAGAGGCACAUACUAUUUCAAAUGUGGAGAAUGUGUGUCAAUAUUUCUACCUUAAAAUAAAAUAAAAAAUUAUAUUGAGUCCAUUCAAAAUGCCACUAUGUCCAGUCAGACUGGAGGGUUAAGACAAAUCUAGGCAGGUACAGAUGGAAUGUUUUUUAUAUUAAUCUGUGGCACUUUGCUUACAAUCAGUUAAAUUUCAGGAAAAUGUGGUUGUUUUUUUGUGUCUACUAAAUGCAUUAGACCAUUGCUCCUUGUUCUAAUCCAUUUAAUGACACCAAUUUUUAAACAAAGUCACAUUUUUGUGGAAUUCUGCUGAACAUUUGGAUAAAAGGACACAGAAAAUGAAUAAUAACAUCACAAUAUUCCAUUUAGGGGUUUCAAGAGCACUUCAAACCCUCGGAUACACUUCCCUUUAAGCUGCAUUUUACUGCUAUGUUGUAACUGUUUCCAUGCCUGUUCGUAGUGUACUGACAGGUUUUUGUGUAGUAGAAUAAUGUAGAAUACAACUGAAUGUAAUUUUGAAACUGAAACGGGUCAAAAACAUAUAAAAUCACUUUAAUGCUGAAGAACAUUUGGUUGCAGUGAAACAGUUACAACGAAGCCAGCGUCAGGUCAAAGAUAAUCUUCUCUAGACGUACUGUAUGAGCCGAGAUAAUCUGCUCUCUACACACUCUCAAACCAAUCAACACAGUAGCCUUCUAUCUAGAUUCGCUCAAGAUACUCUUGCAAGAUAAAAAUGUGUGAAGACAUGCUGAAUUUAAUCCCAGAUCUCAUUAUAUCUAGCAGGUUUUGUUAGUAGUCUAGUCUGUAGUCUGGUAUGAAAAGAAGCUGGGAGUGAAAUUAAGUGCUGAACUAUGGCGAUAAACAGGCUCUGAUGCAGAGUUAGCAAACUGGUAGAAGUUCCAUUAUUCUGAAUUUUGGACAGACCUGGUUUCAAGUGUAUGUCCUUGUUUUGGUACCUGUGCUGGUUGUAGCACAAAACUCUUUUUGAAUAAUUUAAAUUGCAGAUUAUGUAUUAAGCAUUGUCUUAAGAAUGUUAAAAUGGCUUUAACUCACUGCAGGAUGCAAAAUAGGCCAACAUACAUCGAUGUUCAAAUUCUUUUUAACUCCCAAAUUGUUAGUUUGGCACCACACAGCGCCACCUCUAUCUCCCAAUUAUCCUUCAGUUGUUUUUUUUUUUAAAUCAAAAGUCUGCUCCCUUGCUUCCCUGUGGCCCUAUAGGAAUGGCUAGUGUCGUAUAGUGGGCGGGCCAAGGGAGAGCAUUUAGCUAAUGAAAAGCGGCAUUACUGCUCCCAUCUAAUAACCUUAAUGUUUUACUGUACAGAAAGUCGUAUACUCCAGCUUUAAAGUCAGUCCAUUUUCAGUUCAAAUUAAUUUCCAUUUCGUAAAAAUUCUAAGAACACAGUAAAACUUUCAAAUAUAUCACAAGGAAUUAAUUCCACCUGCACCAUUUGGCUUCUCGAGCUUAAUUAAUGUCAAACCCACUGACCCAAUUAGGAUUCCUUCCAUUGCCACCUACUGUGAAUGGCAAAAUGUCUUCUCUGCUUAGAGGUGAGUAAAAAGUGAAUUGAACUGAAAACGAACUCACUCAGCCGCUAGUCAACACACAAGCACUGUGGAUGAUUAAUAACUAUACUUACAGAGAAAAAAAGACAGAAUCAUAACAAUUCAUAAACCUGGUUGAUUGGUUUUUACUGCAAUAUUUUAAGUUACAGCUCCCUAUUUCCUGUAAUCAUUAGUAUUAAAAUAUGAUAAUGUCACAAGGUUGGUUCUACCAUUCAUCUGACUGAGUUUUAAUGAGUGAGACUGAUUUUAUUACACUUCGAAAAGUAAAAAAAAAAGAAGAAAAAAAAAAA